CUUGCUACUUAACUUAGCGGCGGACGGGUGAGUAAUACUUAGGAAUCUGCCUAUUAGUGGGGGACAACAUUUCGAAAGGAAUGCUAAUACCGCAUACGUCCUACGGGAGAAAGCAGGGGAUCACUUGUGACCUUGCGCUAAUAGAUGAGCCUAAGUCGGAUUAGCUAGUUGGUGGGGUAAAGGCCUACCAAGGCGACGAUCUGUAGCGGGUCUGAGAGGAUGAUCCGCCACACUGGGACUGAGACACGGCCCAGACUCCUACGGGAGGCAGCAGUGGGGAAUAUUGGACAAUGGGGGGAACCCUGAUCCAGCCAUGCCGCGUGUGUGAAGAAGGCCUUUUGGUUGUAAAGCACUUUAAGCGAGGAGGAGGCUACUCUAGUUAAUACCUAGGGAUAGUGGACGUUACUCGCAGAAUAAGCACCGGCUAACUCUGUGCCAGCAGCCGCGGUAAUACAGAGGGUGCGAGCGUUAAUCGGAUUUACUGGGCGUAAAGCGUGCGUAGGUGGCCAAUUAAGUCAAAUGUGAAAUCCCCGAGCUUAACUUGGGAAUUGCAUUCGAUACUGGUUGGCUAGAGUAUGGGAGAGGAUGGUAGAAUUCCAGGUGUAGCGGUGAAAUGCGUAGAGAUCUGGAGGAAUACCGAUGGCGAAGGCAGCCAUCUGGCCUAAUACUGACACUGAGGUACGAAAGCAUGGGGAGCAAACAGGAUUAGAUACCCUGGUAGUCCAUGCCGUAAACGAUGUCUACUAGCCGUUGGGGUCUUUGAGACUUUAGUGGCGCAGCUAACGCGAUAAGUAGACCGCCUGGGGAGUACGGUCGCAAGAC
rnacentral:rRNA from 1 species